GGAAAAGUACAACAGAGAGAAAUAGAAAUCAAAACUGGCUCUCUCAUGUGAAAAUAAAAGUUGGGGGCAAGGCUGUUGGCUUAUAAAAUUUCCUUGCAACUGUGAGCGUGUGAGCCUCUGUGUGUGUGUGUGUGCGCGUGUGCGUGCGUGUGUGUGGUCAGGGAGAAUGGUGAGCCUGUUUUUUUUUGUAAAUUGCUGAAUUGGGAAGUUCUUGGAACCUCAGUAGGGUGCCAGAAUCACCCUGCCCUUUAAUUUCAAGGCAGUUUUAUUGCAUUCUUUUAUUACUUGUUUGACUUUAUUGGUGGUGCUGUGGGUCAGGCUCAUUAUUGGGAUGGAAUUGCUUAUUACUUCAGUAUCAGGUUUGCAGGGACUCUAGUUUUUUCCUUACCCUGCCUCCCCUCAAAACUUUUAAGUAGGAGCUGAAUAUAUGAAUUGUAAAUUAACAACUGAUUAAUAUGCAUUGGCAAUUCCUCAGAAAGCUCUCGGAUUGCCCCCUUCUGGCAUGGCCUGUUUAUGUUAAUUAGCAGUUUCAGAGAUUAAACAAACAAACAAAAAAAGGAUCUUCAAAAUGGAUAGUAAUAAAGCCGAAUUGAAAGGGGUUCCUGCCAUCAAGGCUCACUCAGUCUCUGGGUUCUGGAUAGGCCUUGGCUUCUGAUUGCUGACUCAGAUUGUCUGGAAGAGCAGGGAAGCCUUUUAGAAAUAGAAUUCCCUGAAUGAAA
rnacentral:lncRNA from 1 species